rnacentral:rRNA from 1 species
AGAGUUUGAUCAUGGCUCAGGAUGAACGCUAGCGGCAGGCUUAAUACAUGCAAGUCGUGGGGCAGCAGGGGUGUAGCAAUACACUCGCUGGCGACCGGCAAACGGGUGCGGAACACGUACGCAAUCUACCCAAAACUGGUGAAUAGCCCUCCGAAAGGAGGAUUAAUACACCGUAACUUAAUGAAGUGGCAUCACUUUAUUAAUAUAGCUCCGGCGGUUUUGGAUGAGCGUGCGGCUGAUUAGGUAGUUGGCGGGGUAACGGCCCACCAAGCCUGCGAUCAGUAACUGGUGUGAGAGCACGACCAGUCACACGGGCACUGAGACACGGGCCCGACUCCUACGGGAGGCAGCAGUAAGGAAUAUUGGUCAAUGGACGCAAGUCUGAACCAGCCAUGCCGCGUGGAGGAUGAAGGCCCUCUGGGUUGUAAACUGCUUUUGCAGGGGAAUAAACCUCGAUACGUGUAUCGAGCUGAAUGUACUCUGAGAAUAAGGAUCGGCUAACUCCGUGCCAGCAGCCGCGGUAAUAC